GACAAUUCUACCAAGUCCUGGGUUUAAAAACCCUGGUUGGCUCCUCCCAAAUUGCCUCACAGCCAAUCGGGACAGAGCUAGUCCACCUGAUGUCGCUAAUCCUCAUUUAUGGGUCAUGCCUCAUUGUGAAUCCUUCUGGUUUCAAAACAGCCAUGAAAUCAACACGUCCAAGGAGGCAGAUGUCUUUCUUUUCUGCAGGGGAAAGCAGAUGCGUUCCAUCUUCAUAUAAGUUCGAAUCCACGCAAAAGUCUCUUCACAAAGUCAAUUCUCCGAG